rnacentral:misc_RNA from 1 species
GUAUAGAUUUCAUAGGCAUAUACAUUCUAUUAACAUACAUUGGGGUAAAUGAAGAAGCAACAUAGACCAUGAAAAAAAUAUCCAGGGUCUACAAAAGGUGCACAGGUGGAGACAUAAAGAUGACAAGGUGUGCACAUGCUCCCUAGAGAACCAGCAACAACCCAUCAGGUUUAUUUCAAUAAUGAUCCUUCCGCAGGUUCACCUACGGAAA